rnacentral:rRNA from 1 species
UGAGCAACCUACCUUUGAGUUGGGGAUAGCCCUGGGAAACCAGGAUUAAUACCCGAUGUGGUCACAACAGGACAUCCUGAUGUGAGUAAAGGCGUAAGCCGCUCAAUGACGGGCUCGCGGCCUAUUAGCUUGUUGGUGGGGUAACGGCCUACCAAGGCGAUGAUGGGUAGCUGGUCUGAGAGGACGAUCAGCCACACUGGGACUGAGACACGGCCCAG